rnacentral:rRNA from 1 species
GACGAACGCUGGCGGCGUGCCUAAUACAUGCAAGUUGAGCGCUGAAGGUUGGUACUUGUACCAACUGGAUGAGCAGCGAACGGGUGAGUAACGCGUGGGGAAUCUGCCUUUGAGCGGGGGACAACAUUUGGAAACGAAUGCUAAUACCGCAUAAAAACUUUAAACACAAGUUUUAAGUUUGAAAGAUGCAAUUGCAUCACUCAAAGAUGAUCCCGCGUUGUAUUAGCUAGUUGGUGAGGUAAAGGCUCACCAAGGCGAUGAUACAUAGCCGACCUGAGAGGGUGAUCGGCCAAAUUGGGACUGGGACACGGCCCAAACCCCUACGGGAGGCAGCAGUAGGGAAUUUUGGGAAAUGGGAGAAAGUUUGACCGGGCAACGCCCGGGGAGUGAAGAAGUUUUUCGGAUCUUAAAACUUUUUUGGGAGGAAAAAACGUUGGUGGGGGUGGAAAGCCCAUCAAGUGACGGUAACUACCCAGAAAGGAACGGCUAACUCCUG